CCUAGCCCUUCCAGAGGGGACAACAGUUGGAAACGACUGCUAAUACCGCAUACGAUCUAACCUCGGCAUCGAGGAUGGAUGAAAGGUGGCCUCUAUUUAUAAGCUAUCACUGAAGGAGGGGAUUGCGUCUGAUUAGCUAGUUGGAGGGGUAACGGCCCACCAAGGCGAUGAUCAGUAGCCGGUCUGAGAGGAUGAACGGCCACAUUGGGACUGAGACACGGCCCAG
rnacentral:rRNA from 1 species